UGUCACCUCUUUCUGGGUGUCUCUCUCUCCAGGGAGGGCGUUCAGCAAGCCUGGCACUCACCCCCACCGUGAUCAGAGCCGGCGAGGAUUGUCAUCACGCUGUCCAAGCUUGACGGUGCCACUUCAGAGAGAAGAUGCCAUCAGAGGCAGGGCCAUUAUCCAUGACACUGACACGCUCCGCUCUUAAAGGAAAAACACCAGUGCGUGCAACAGGAAGCCCAGAACUCCUACAUUGUUAUUUCAUCCACUUGGAGGAUUCCCCACCAAGCAUGUGACGAGACAGUCCCAUGUGCACAUCCCAGAACUCUACAUCAGGUGCUGGGAGAGGGAGUUUGUUAUUACAGAAGACCAGCUGGGACCUCGCCUAGCAGCUGGGACCCCGGACAACUGCCUAGUGACUGGUGACCGGGUGACCAGGAGGCCUACCCCAGCUUGGCAGUCAGCCGGCUCUGGCCAGUGGGAGGACAAAGGGCCGAGGAUAGAGGACCCCAGUGACCUGACCAGCCAGUUCCAGCCAGAGGGAAACAAAGGACGGAAGACAGAGGGCUCCAGCGACCUCUUAAUUGAGCUGUUGUGGCCGGUGAUAUGGGAUGAUCAGCUGGAAGGAGGGGACUUCUGGACUAGGGCGAGAGAGCAGCCAGAGCCCACCUGGAUGCAAGGGAGACUUAGAUGUACUGUGCUGAGGGAGG